rnacentral:sRNA from 1 species
GAAUAGCCCCGGUUGAAGUGGCAUCUUUUUUGUCAUUAGGGAAACUGAACGGGGACAAAAAAAUAAAACGGAAAACGGGACUGCUU